GGCUUUUGUUGCAAAAUGCAUGUGAAGGGCAAUAGCCAAGUAUGCAAUUGAGUAAAUAAGAUAAUUACUUAUUUAAUUAUGCUGCAAAGGCAAUAAAUUGGGCUACGAGGCAGAGCAGUGGUUCUGAGUUGAGGCUGACUGGAAAGAUUUACAGCUUAGGGGGUCCUGGGCUCCCCCCCAGCUUUAUUAAAUCAUGAUCUGGGGCCAGUACUAGUACUUUUCAAAAGUUUCCAGACAACUUUAAAAAUAGAUUUGCAGAAGUAUAAUCUACGUAUCACAAGUGUCUUCACUCAUGGUAAGUGCACAGAUCAAUGACUUUUAGUCAACUGCAGCAUCGUGCACCCAUCCCCACUGCUCCAUCCUGAGAUGUUUCUGCCCCCUCCAAAGUUUCGCCUGCCCCUUGCACUAGGUCCUCAUUGUCACAGUCAGCCUCAGGCCACCACUGAGCUGCUUGCUAUAAAUUUCCCUUUUAGAUGUCUCACUCCCCAGUGAGUUCACUGUGCAGUGUGGAUUGGGAACAUUUGAGGCUGAGAAAAUGAGGGAAAGGAGCACUUCUGAGAGAAGCAGAGGGUGAGAAUGAACCAGCCACACAGAAGUACAUACCAUGGGGAGAGAACAGCAACCAUGAGGCUGGAGAAAAGGGGAAGAAGUCGGCCUGGCCCAGGGGCAGAAGGGAGGCCACACGUACCGCUAUCAACUGUUUUGGUGGCUCACAUGGGGAGAAAAAAAAAUCGCACUGAAUAAAUAAAUUAAUGGGAAAUACAGCAGACAAAUAAAAAAAGAAAGAAAACAAUUAAGUGUUAUUUAUUUUCCUAUUCUUAGUACCUGGCACUGUGUCUGCUGCAAUAAC
rnacentral:lncRNA from 1 species